GACGAACGCUGGCGGCGUGCUUAACACAUGCAAGUCGGACGAUGAAGGAGAGCUUGCUCUCCGGAUUAGUGGCGAACGGGUGAGUAACACGUGACUAACCUGCCCCUUUCUCUGGGAUAACGCUCCGAAAGGAGUGCUAAUACCGGAUACGAACUCUGAACACAUGUUCGGAGUUGGAAAGUUUUUCGGAAAGGGAUGGAGUCGCGGCCUAUCAGCUUGUUGGUGAGGUAACGGCUCACCAAGGCGACGACGGGUAGCCGGCCUGAGAGGGCGACCGGCCACACUGGGACUGAGACACGGCCCAGACUCCUACGGGAGGCAGCAGUGGGGAAUAUUGCACAAUGGGCGAGAGCCUGAUGCAACGACGCCGCGUGAGGGAUGAAGGUCUUCGGAUUGUAAACCUCUUUCAGUAGGGACGAAGCGAAAGUGACGGUACCUAAAGAAGAAGCACCGGCUAACUACGUGCCAGCAGCCGCCGUAA
rnacentral:rRNA from 1 species